GACGAACGCUGGCGGCGUGCUUAACACAUGCAAGUCGAACGAAAAGGCCAUGCUUUUGUGGGGUGCUCGUUUGGCGAGCGGGGGAGUGACACGUGUGUAAACUCCCCUUGAAUUUGGGGUAAAUUCAGGAAACUGGGGCUAAUACCGGAUAGGAGCUCCUGCUGCAUGGUGGGGGUUGGUAAGUUUCGGCGGUUGGGGAUGGAAUAGCGGCUUAUCAGCUUGUUGGUGGGGUAGUGGCUUACCAGGGCUUUGACGGGUAGCCGGCCUGAGAGGGUGACCGGCGACAUUGGGCCUAAGAUAGGCCCCAGAAGCCAACGUGAGGCAGCAGUGGGGAACCUGACACAAUGGCGGGAAGCGUGAGGUAACAACGCCGCGAGCGGGAUGACGUCUUACGGGUUGUAAACAGCUGUGGCAGUAGCUGAAGAGGUAGUGACGGUAAUUGGUAAAGAAGCAACGGCUAACUACGUG
rnacentral:rRNA from 1 species